rnacentral:lncRNA from 1 species
UAUAUGCGUUUGUGUGUGGGUUUGUACCCCUGAUUGCAGGUACACACGGCAUCCAUUAGAGGGUGAUAGACUCCCUAUAGCUGGAGUUCUAGAUGCUUGCAGACUGCCUAGUAUGGGUUCUCUGCAUGACCAAUACCUGUACUUCCCUGCUGGGCCGCCUUUCCAGCCCCGCGAGUUCAAUGAUAUUAAACUCCAUGACAGUAGCUGCUUUUUGUUUGGUCCCUCAAGCUGGCCUCUGCUGACACGGCCUGUUUACAGACGCUCUUGUAUAAGAACGAUAGAGCUGUUAAAGCUCACAGUCCUCCUGGUUAACUGCAGUUAAGCCUAACAUGUAAAGCUUUGGAUUUAACCAGAGCCACCUCUUUAAGAUCUAACCAAAGAAGGAAAUACAAUUGAUUUCUUUCCCCUUAGAAGAAAUGACAUGAAUUGUUAAAAUUCUGGUCAUGAAACUUAAUGAAUGAGAGUUGUGGGUCCAUGCCUGUAUCUCAGUAUUCAGAAGGCAGAGGCAGGGACAUUGUUAUUUUGCAGCCAACCUGUAGUUUGUAAUGAGUUAAAGGUCAACUUGAGCUGCCUACUAGUAGACCUUGUCUCAAAAAAGAAAAAAAAAAAU